CGGAUAAGGAACGAAGGCUAGGGUAGCAAACCGGAUUAGAUACCCGGGUAGUCCUAGCUGUAAACAUUGCCCAUUUGAUGUUGCUUUCCCGUUGAGGGAAGGCAGUGUCGGAGCGAAGGUGUUAAAUGGGCCGCUUGGGAAGUAUGGUCGCAAGACUGAAACUUAAAGGAAUUGGCGGGGGAGCACCGCAACGGGAGGAAUGUGCGGUUUAAUUGGAUUCAACGCCGGAAAACUCACCGGGAACGACCUGUGCAUGAGAGUCAACUUGACGAGCUUACUCGAUAGCAGGAGAGGUGGUGCAUGGCCGUCGUCAGCUCGUACCGUAGGGCGUUCACUUAAGUGUGAUAACGAGCGAGACCCACAUCUUUAAUUGCAAAUGUAUAUGGGAAUAUGCAUGCACUUUAGAGAAACCGCCAGCGCUAAGCUGGAGGAAGGAGUGGUCGACGGCAGGUCAGUACGCCCCGAAUUUCCCGGGCUACACGCGCAUUACAAAGAACGGGACAAUACGUUGCAACAUCGAAAGAGGGAGCCAAUCG
rnacentral:rRNA from 1 species